GACGUAGGGGGCGAGCGUUGUCCGGAUUCAUUGGGCGUAAAGAGCGCGUAGGCGGCCUGUUAAGUCGGGUGUGAAAACACGGGGCUCAACCCCGUGCCUGCAUCCGAUACUGGCAGGCUUGAGGCAGGUAGGGGAGAUCGGAAUUCCCGGUGUAGCGGUGAAAUGCGCAGAUAUCGGGAGGAACACCGGUGGCGAAGGCGGAUCUCUGGGCCUGUCCUGACGCUGAGGCGCGAAAGCUGGGGGAGCAAACAGG
rnacentral:rRNA from 1 species